rnacentral:tRNA from 1 species
ACUGAUUUGUAAUCAGUAGGUCGGGGGUUCGAGUCCCUCUGCUGGCU